GAGCCUCCUGUCCCAACAGUACCCCAUACAGUUGAUGAUGGGGAUAAAGAAACUGUUUCUGCUGCCACAGACAGGCCUACAGAGAGUUAUGGAAGAACGGCAGGAGGAAGGUCCAUCAACUUCUGGUGCACAGAUGGACACAGUUCAGUGAUUUACAGUAAAUGCCACAGU